CAAUCGUUAGUUACAACAAGAAUACGCUGGGAGUAACUUGCCGGUUGGGAUUGAUCUGCAAUCAGGUGAACCCAUGAACCCCGUAGAUGCCGGUGUGUUGGAUAAUCAUUGCGUUACUAAACAAUUACUUAACUCAUGCACUGUUAUUGCUUCCAACUUAUUGUUGGUCGAUGAAAUGAUGAGAGCUGGUAUGGCAACACUGAAAGGUUGAGAAUUGAGAUUAACCAUCGGUUGCAGCUAUUGUCUCGUAACGAACUUUAUUAUGAUGUAACAAGCAUGACCGCAUGUUCCUUUAAGUUUGGCGUCUCGUGUUUGUUUUGUAUUAAAAUUAUUACUCAAAUAAAGUGAAUGUAGAAGACUC